rnacentral:rRNA from 1 species
CGGGGUGCAGCAGGCGCGAAACCUUUGCAAUACACGAAAGUGUGACAGGGUCAUCCCGAGUGCCGACCGCUGAGGUUGGCUUUUACCCAGUCUAGAAAGCUGGGGGAAUAAGGAGAGGGCAAGUCUGGUGUCAGCCGCCGCGGUAAUACCAGCUCUCCGAGUGGUGUGGACGUUUAUUGGGCCUAAAGCAUCCGUAGCUGGCUGAUCAAGUCCCCUGUUAAGCCCACCGAUUUAAUCGUUGGCUUGCGGGGGAUACUGCUCGGCUAGGGGACGAGAGAGGCAGACGGUAUUCCCGGGGUAGGGGUGAAAUCCUAUAAUCCCGAGAAGACCACCAGUGGCGAAGGCUGUCUGCUAGAACGCGCCCGACGGUGAGGGAUGAAAGCUGGGGGAGCGAACCGGAUUAGAUACCCGGGUAGUCCCAGCUGUAAACGAUGCAGGCUAGGUGUUUGGACGGCCACGCGCCGUUCUAGUGCCGCAGGGAAGCUGUUAAGCCUGCCGCCUGGGGAGUACGAUCGCAAGAUUGAAACUUAAAGGAAUUGGCGGGGGAGCACAAG